AACAAGCCAUCUUACGAGAGUUUGUUUCCAUUAAAAUUUAAGUGAUUAAGAAUAAAACAUUGAUAAAAUAUUAUUAAUUUUAUUAGCCUUAUGUUUCGUAGAUUUGUAUAUGUAUACAUUUAGAACUUAGUAAUACUGUAACUUUAAUGUUAUCAUUCAAGUUUGAUUAUUCAUAGAGAUAUUAUGAUAACUGUAGAGAGAAAUAUUGUAAAUUCAUAGUAAUAUUUAUGAUAUUAUAGUCUCAUAAAUAUGCAUACGUGUUUGCAAAGCAUUUACACGAUAAAAGGUCGUAAAUUUAAUAUUAUUUAAUUCUAUUUAGAGUCGAUAAUGUCACCGCUCUUCAAUUACCACUGCGCCCCUCGAGCUCCUUUGGUAAUGACGAACAUUUGCUGGUUUAACAGUACCUCAUCGGUGGCUGUACGUGCUGGCUGUGCAUUGUGAAUCCCAUAGAUAUCAGUAAAUAUAACAACGCACAUAGACGUAGAUAGAACUUAAGUUAUAUAAUAAGUUAAACAUUAUAUGUGUGUUUGAUUUGCCGAUAUUUCUGUACUUGUAGGAGAGAAAAUAAUCGAGUUUAUAUCAAAAAGAAAGAACAGCUUUCGCCUAAAUAUGAAGACUGCUGCAUACAAUAAUUAAUCUUGAAAGAACGUCACACAUGCGAACAUACACGUACUUUCUGACGCCAGCUGCAAGCGAUUUGCUGCAAAACCUGAUGCUGUCUUCCUCGUUUUUAAGUAUGCCAUCUCUGCGAUGUAAAAGCAACGUAGGAGAGAAAAGUUAUAUAUGUAUAUGGGUGCAAACGUUAUUUCUUUUUUUAACAUCGAGAUCGUUACAAAAUCGAUAACUCUUCGCCGACCGUGCAAGAAAGUUUUUCCAAACGAUCUCGGCAAGUUGUAUCAAUACAUAUUCAAGUACUCCUUGACACAUGUUCACUACGUACAUGUUAAAUACGUAAAAUCAUCCUACUUUUCACCGACAUAACCGUUAAUCGUACGCAGCGUUGAUUCAUGCAGCGAACUCCAACUUUCGCAUUGGUAUAUGUAAUGUAAUCGGAAAGGAAUGUAAAAAACUUUGCUUGAUAAAGCCCGAUUUCAGAGAAAAAAAUUACCAGAUUGAAAAACUUUCGACGACCUUCAUUACUUAAUAUUGUGCAAUUAUGGGCUCUUGUGAACUUUAUUCGGUGAGCACAUAAAACUCAUGGAAUUUCCAUUCAUUUUUCUCAACUCUGCAUCUAAUUGCGGACAAUUACAAUAUUCAAACUAUACGUCAUUAACACGACAGAAAUUUAUUCUGUCUUAUGCGGUUUUCUCCUGUAGAAGACAAAAAGGAGAUUCAAUUGCCAUAAAUAGCGUAAAUUGGGACGAUGCUACGAGCGUUGAUUAAAGUGGCGGAAUUUAGCGUUGAAACGCGUUGUAAAGCUGGUAUACGAGGUUCGCGUAAGAUAAACGGUCGAUUUAUCAAGGCAGAUUACGAAGUUUCACAGUGUCGUAAAGAUCCUUCGUACUUCAUAGAAGACAGACAGAUUUGCACGAUAUUAUAUCCUAAAUAUCAACACGUCGUUCUUUAAAACCACACUUUAAACAACGCGACUAUACAUACGAUCUUCAAAUUUGGCACAUUUAUCGAGAGUAUUUCAAUUAAAGAAUAAAGUAAAUAUAUGAACUUUUUAUAAUUUUCUAAAUAGUAAUCAUAAUUUUUUAAUGUUUUUUUGAUCUUAUGAAAAUCACAUUUGAUCACCAUUGAGAUUACAGUAUGGCUCUUGAUUCCUACGUAAUUAAACGUCGAUGCUAUUUACGUCAUGAUAUUUCCAGACUCAUUUCAAACACGUAAUUUGAACUUUAUACUCUAUCAGUCCUCCUAUAAUUGCAAAUACGAAUGAAUCUCUCAAUCCCCAACUAAAAUCAGAAAUAUCAAGGAGUUAAUGGCAUAUAAUGACUUAUUACAUAAACUUGAAUAUCUUGCUGUUACGUUCGUGUUGAUCUAAUAACAAUUAAUUAAUCGAUUUGAUCUAUUACGUUACUGUAAUCGGGACUGACACCUACAAGACAAUUAGAGACAAUUGCAAUCUCAUUAUCGCAUUGGCCAUUCAAUACAAGGAAUGAAAUUUGACACCCGUAGCAAUUGAGAUUUAAUUGUACAGUACGUGUAAUAUAAUAUUACCUAACAUAUAUUUUAUUGCGAUACAUAUUACGCUUUUAAAACGUAGGCGGAUUAAACCUUUUAAAUCUAGGCUAUUUGCAUAUAGCUUAUGUUCGUAAAAUAGCAGCAAGGCGUCCAUUGCAUCCGAGUGUAGAGACGCAAAAAACAUUGCACAUAGCUUUCUUCGACCGCAGGUGGCAGUUCACAUCAAACAUAGUAGCACAUAUGGUCUAAAAAAAGUCUUUCUCUCCAGUAAAACGAUAAAACUUUUAUAAUUAUGCAAAGGUCGUGAAACGCGAUAUUCAUGUUUAGUUUUUUUUUUAUAACUUAUUCAUUAAACUGUUUUACUAUUUUUACUAGAAAAUUUCUCCGCAAACAAAGUGACUGUUAAGUUGAUGAAAAACGCCUACGAAAUAACAUGUGACAUAUGGAACUACUUCUACUAAUGUGCUUAUUUGAAUCAUUCGCUUAAUACCGGAAAUCAUACGCUUAUGUAACGGAAGUAAAUCAUGCGUUCACUGUGAUCGCAUACGUGAUUACUUGUGGAUGUUGUGGCUGCACAGAGAUCAUUAAACUGGAUGACCCGGCUUUCACGCGCCGCUCUGAGUGCGAAUAAUCACUACGAUUCAAUCAGUGCGGUUUAUUAGAUAUUAGCGCGAAUUUACGCAACUCUCUGUGAGAAACGACUAACAUAAAAGCAUUAUAUCGUCGCUAUUGAUCGAUGUAAGUAUAAUGUUGCAACCAAUACGUGUAGAGGUAAAAUAUAUUUUAAAAUGUGUUUUAUGUUCUUUUCUUAGAAGAUAUUCUAUGAAAUUAUAAUAAGGGCAUUUUUUCUCCCCGUUUGAAAGAUAAAUUAUUUCUUAAUUUACUUUUCAACAAGCAGAGAAAGAAUCUAAGAGAAUUUUAAUACAAUUCUCUAUUAGCCAAUAUAUGAAAUUUCUUUAUUAGUUACCAAACUUUGUAAUUUCAUAACUCAGCCCAUUUUCCAUGAAUGCGCUCAAAACUUUCUCCGUCACAGCGGAGUUUAAUCGACGACCUUACUUCGAGAUCUUCAGUUAUAUUCAACAACUUGAUUAUCACAACAAUACGGAACUUCGUAGGUCGAGAGUACAACAAGGAGUACAACGAAUUAAGUACAGCAUCGAGGCAGUUAGACUUCUCGACGAUCGAUCGCAUCGACAGCAUGCGUAAACUAUUUUACGUCAGCAAGUGAAACACGAUUUACGAUUCUACAACAAUAUUAUAAAAAUCUCAUAAAGAUAUAACGAAUAUAUAAUUAAUAAUGAAUCUUUAUUAUGUUAUAUUAUAAUUUUAAUAAUUUUUAAAUUAUAAUAACAAUAAAAUUGUUAUAUUACACGCAUUCUUAAUAAAGCACGUGCCUUGAAUACUAAUGUGGUCUUAAAAAUUGUCUACUGCGUCAGAUUUCCAAGAAAGUACGAGUUUUAAACCUCUUAAAAAUGCUUUUUCUGACUGCUUAUAUGAAUUCGUAACGCCUGAAUGAACCAGUCAUGCUGCAAUAAUUUAGAAAAGAUUUGAAAUUGAAGUUUGAGUCUUUGUUUUGUUUUAAAAUGUUCAGAAACUUAAAGUGCAACUUCGUUAAAACCUUCUUAGAAGGAAUGAAGAACCGUCACAAGUUUAUACACAACAAAAUAAUGAAAUAUCUCGCACCUAACAAAUUUUUGUAAAUUUCUGUUAUGGGUAGGGGCUCGGGAAAUAUUAUAAUAAAGAUUAUACAAAAAUAUUCUACUUAUUUAUGUUGCAUAUAUUUUCAUUAGAAGGGGAUAAAAUUUCGAAAAUAACAUAUGCUUUGACCUUUCAUUAUAAAAGUGCAAGCAAUUGGUUAAAAUUUGUAAUAUAAUAAGCACAAUAAAAUUAUUUUUUAAAUAAUAAAGAGGAAGGGAAUGUCUAAUAUUGGCAAGCUUCUAAAGCAGCAGCUCUUUGUUUCUCAGAAACUAAUUGCAUUGUAUGAAUAUUAAUAGAAACAUGAUCUAUUUAGACAAUUAAAGAAAUAAAAUCCAUAAUUUAUACAUACAUAUAUACAUAUAUAACACACACACACACACACACACACACACACACAACAUCUAUGCCUUAUAAUAAUGUACUUGCAACAUAAAUUUUCUAUUAUCAUUAUUUUUGAAAAAGUGGGAAAUUAUAACAUAACUACAAUACUACCACAAUUUUUACAUUAUAUAAAAUAUGAUGUUACAAUAAUAUAUAUAGUUGUAGUAGUAAACAUGUAACUGUCUCGACUGGGAAAUUGUCUAAAAUAUUUAUAUAACAAACAAAAGAAUGUUUUACAUUGAACUAAAAUGCUUUUUAGAAUUUUCAUAUACAUUAACUUGUAAAUAUUUUAUACAAAGAACUCAUGUUAAAGAAUAAAAAAAUAAAAAUAUAGCUUACUACGUCAGUUUGAAGAUCCAUGUCUCUGACGUUUAUUUUUUACAAAAUAUAAAACAAAAUUAUAGAAAAACUAUAUACCAUCAAACAAAAGGCACUUUCUAGUUUAUAUUUGUUUUUAAAGUUUAUUUCUUUUGUUUAAAAAUGCUAUCCAAAAUUGAAGUGGUGUACCAGAUUUGGUUAUCGUUUUCUACAUACAUUACCUUACUGCAUGUGUAUAAUUUUAAUAAUUUUCAAAAUGUUAUUGCAACAAUUGAAUCAAUAAAAAAUUAUUUUACAUAGAACAAUAUACACAAUUAUGUUCUUACCAGUAUUAAACCUUUAUAUAUUUUUCGUAUCUGUUUUUAAUGUGUACUAUAUCAUAAACAACGCGCGGAAGCGUAGCAUUACGUUUUGUUUGUAAAAGCAGUGACAACCAAAAUCCGCUUUCAAUGCGCGCGAUGAAACUCCUGAAAGAGAUAGACGCCGUAUCCCGUCUAUUUCGCGUAUCGCAAACAAGACGAAUCUUAUUAUCACACAGAAAUGGAAUCCGGAUGAGUUACGACUCAUUGAAAUUCUUGUGGAGUUUCGCUCGAUCGGCUCUCAAAAUAUCGUUCGUUGAAAUAUUUGCGAAUGUCAUCGAUACGCACUUACAUCGUCAAUUGAUUUUGCUUUUUACGAGGAAAAUGUUUUUUUCCUCUAUACGAACGGCGUAUACUAUUCUUACAAUCUGAGUUGAAUAGAAUAAUUUAGAGAUGAGGAAGGAAUGGUGUAGACGUGCUUCUCCUCACGGGGGGUCACUACGUUAUACAAUGAAAAUGAAUUGCAGUACAAGGCAUGAUAAUGAAUUCAACUUCGUCCUUUUUCUUUACAGGGAUUUAAUAAACUAUUCAAUUACACAAAAGUUGAGAAAAUUUACACGUCUCCGCCACCUUUCGUUGAACAUUUCAAUGUUAUAAUACAUAUCAUGAAUACCUCUGAAUUAAUGUGGUAUGUUUUAAAGAAGCUAUUUAGUAGUCUAAUUGUUAAUCUCUAUACGUAUAUAAAUAUGAUAAAUUUUUACAUUACCAAAG